rnacentral:lncRNA from 1 species
CGACCAAAUUACAAGACACCAAGUCGGAGAGAUGCUUGGUGCUGUCAUAACAGACAAGUUUGUGUUCUCUGCUGGGGAGAGAGGAAGCUUGUUUAACUCUUUCACCAAAGCUGGUUACUGUUAUAGUUAUUCCUAAAUAUCAUUUUAAGGAUGCGGACAGACCUGCGCCUGUGAAGGAUGUGGAGGAGCCCUGAGGAAGCAUCUCACCAGUUUCUGUGUGCUGGCCUCUGAACCGGGACCCGUUCAACAGCAGUGCCUCGCAGGUGAUCUCGCGCCUCACGGAAACCUCAUCUAUCAGGCAGCUUCUGGGAAACUUAAACAGGAGAGAGAGAUAAGAACAGAGGCUCAGAUGGACAAACAUGUGGCACCACUGACGGACAUGAUCUCAGCAUUCUAGGCCUAGAAGGAAGAGCAAAUGAUCGUGGUGGCUUAAAGGCACAUACGAGAUACCAGAGACAGUCCACAGAAAUAAUAACUGUCGUCUGUUAAUCACCGCCUGUGUUCUCUUACACACACUAACCACUUGAUUGUCGCAUGGCUUAUGCUGAUAUCAUGCAAGAUGGAUCCUUUUGUUCCCAUUGUACUGAGGAAGACAGGCCACUGGGUUGAAUGUCUGGACUUUUGCCCCAAUAAAUGUGUUUUCAAAC